rnacentral:rRNA from 1 species
AGAGUUUGAUCCUGGCUCAGGAUAAACGCUGGCGGCGUGCCUAAUACAUGCAAGUCGAUCGAUAGAAGUCCAGCUUGCUGGACGGAAAUAGAGGCGAACGGGUGAGUAAUACGUAAGCAACCUGCCCACGAAGACCGGGAUAAUCCCUGGAAACGGGGACUAAGACCGGAUAGGUACACAGACCGCAUGAUCAGUGUAUUAAAGGAGAGAGACACUGGUGGAUGGGCUUACGGUGCAUUAGCUGGAUGGUGAGGUAACGGCCCACCAUGGCGAUGAUGCAUAGCCGGGCUGAGAGGCUGAACGGCCACAUUGGGACUGAGACACGGCCCAGACUCCUACGGGAGGCAGCAGUAGGGAAUUUUCGGCAAUGGGGGCAACCCUGACCGAGCAACGCCGCGUGAGUGAUGAAGGUCUUCGGAUUGUAAAGCUCUGUUGUAAGGGAAGAACGGCAUCUAGAGAAUAGGUGAGUGACGGUACCUUACCAGAAAGCUACGGCUAACUACGUGCCAGCAGCCGCGGUAAUACGUAGGUAGCGAGCGUUAUCCGGAAUUAUUGGGCGUAAAGGGUGCGUAGGCGGCCUGUUAAGUUUAUGGUGAAAGCGUGGGGCUCAACCCCAUAAAGCCAUAGAUACUGGCAGGCUAGAGUACUGGAGAGGGUAGUGGAAUUCCAUGUGUAGCGGUAAAAUGCGUAGAUAUAUGGAGGAACACCGGUGGCGAAGGCGGCUACCUAGACAGAGACUGACGCUGAGGCACGAAAGCGUGGGGAGCAAAUAGGAUUAGAUACCCUAGUAGUCCACGCUGUAAACGAUGAAUGCUAGGUAUCGGGGCGACCCGGUGCCGAAACUAACGCGAUAAGCAUUCCGCCUGUGGAGUAUGCACGCAAGUGUGAAACAUAAAGGAAUUGACGGGGGCCCGCACAAGCGGUGGAGUAUGUGGUUUAAUUCGAC